rnacentral:rRNA from 1 species
AACAGGAUUAGAUACCCUGGUAGUCCAUGCCCUAAACGAUGAUUACUCGAUGUUAGCGAUAUACAGUUAGCGUCAAAGCGAAAGCGUUAAGUAAUCCACCUGGGGAGUACGCCCGCAAGGGUGAAACUCAAAGGAAUUGACGGGGGCCUGCACAAGCGGAGGAGCAUGUGGUUUAAUUCGAUGAUACGCGAGGAACCUUACCCGGGCUUGAAAGUUAGUGAAUGAUUCAGAAAUGAGUCAGUGAGCAAUCACACGAAACUAGGUGCUGCAUGGCUGUCGUCAGCCCGUGCCGUGAGGUGUUGGGUUAAGUCCCGCAACGAGCGCAACCCCUAUGUUUAGUUGCCAGCAUGUAAUGAUGGGGACUCUAAACAGACUGCCUACGCAAGUAGAGAGGAAGGAGGGGACGACGUCAAGUCAUCAUGGCCCUUACGUCCGGGGCUACACACGUGCUACAAUGGUCGGUACAGAGGGCAGCAAGCUAGCAAUAGCAAGCCAAUCUCAAAAAGCCGAUCACAGUUCGGAUUGGAGUCUGCAACUCGACUCCAUGAAGUUGGAUUCGCUAGUAAUCGCGUAUCAGCAAUGACGCGGUGAAUACGUUCCCGGGCCUUGUACACACCGCCCGUCAAGCCAUGAAAGCUGGGGGAACCUGAAGUCUGUCGCCGCAAGGAGCGGCCUAGGGUAAAACUGGUAAUUGGGGCUAAGUCGUAACAAGGUAACC